GGAUGUGAGGGUGAUCUGGGUGCGACAUCUGUCACCCCAUUGGUCGCCAGGGUUGAUUCGGCUGAUCUGGCUGGCUAGGCGGGUGUCCCCUUCCUCCCUCACUGCUCCAUGUGCAUCCUUCCCGAAGCUGUGCACUCCUUCGAAGAAGACCUUCCCCGAAUAGAGAUGGACUGGUCUUCAGUCGAGGGUAUAAGAGUAGCUGUGCUCCCCUACUAGAACCUCCAAACAAGCUCUCAAGACUCGCUGGACUAGAAGGAAACCAUAUUCAAGAUGCCCAUUAUCCAUAUGACAAGAAGGAAAUUG
ensembl:misc_RNA 7SK 7SK RNA